AGAGGGAUUUAAGUCAAUAAAUUCUAGGGAGAGACUAAAAACAAAAGGGAAGAGAUGAAGUCUCUUAGGCUUUCACUCUACAAAGGCAAAUGACCGAUCCGUCGGUCCAUGGUAUUUAUUGAGCGUUUAAUGUCGGCGGAGCAGUGGACCCGGUGCUUGGCCGAGCACGAGUCAGUGGGUGGACAGAAUCCCCGCCCUCGAGACCCUUACGAAAGAGUUUUCCCCAAGACGUCCACGGGGAAUGAGCCCCGGAAGAGUUCCACGAGCAAGGGGGCCCUCGAAUUCAAGACGCGGAAAUGUCCACCCCUCGGGUCGCGCUUCCAGAAAAACACCCCUUUCCUAGGAUACGAGGGCGUGCCCGGCGGAUCUGGAUUUUUACAUCAUGUACAGACUUCGGUAUCUUGGUGAAAAACCCCGAAGACGUAGGAUACUCUUAAGGAGCGAACGAGUGACGCGGGUGAGGACAUGAGACCCAACAGGGUUCAGUGGUGGCCAAAAAGAACCCUUCAAUGCAUCCCUUUCUUCAAUGCCAUAUAAAGUUUAUUUUUCUUUA